GCCUGGUACAGUGGUGCAUGCCUGCAGUGCAAGCUACUCAGGAGGCAAACUGGGGAGGAUUGCUUGAGGCCAGAAAUUUUGGGCUGUGGUGUGCUGUACUGAUCAGGUGUCUGCACUUAGUUCAGCAUCAAUAUGGUGACCUUCUGGGAGUGGAAGCCACCAGGUUGCCUAAGUAGGGUGAACUGGGCCAGGCCCAAAAUGGAACAGGUAAAAACUCCCAUGCUAGGCUAGGCAUGGUGGCUCACACCUGUAAUUCUAGCACUUUGGGAGGCCGAGGCAGGCAGAUCCCCUGAGGUCAAGAGUUCGAGACCAGCCUGGCCAACAUGGUGAAACCCCCAUCUCU
ensembl:misc_RNA Metazoa_SRP Metazoan signal recognition particle RNA